GACCGUGAAGCUUUGCAACAAGCAAAAGUCUUGUAAACUUAAGAUAGAAACUUUCCUUCCGCGGUCU
rnacentral:tRNA from 1 species